UAAGCAAGAGAGUACAACAGAAAUAAUUAUUAGGUUCAUAUCGGAGCUUUGACCAUACUCCGAUGAGGUUUACGAUACUUGUAAAU